CAGCAGCCGCGGGAAUACGUAGGGUCGAGCGUUAAUCGGAAUUACUGGGCGUAAAGCGUGCGCAGGCGGUUAUGUAAGACAGACGUGAAAUCCCCGGGCUCAACCUGGGACCUGCAUUUGUGACUGUAUAGCUAGAGUACGGUAGAGGGGGAUGGAAUUCCGCGUGUAGCAGUGAAAUGCGUAGAUAUGCGGAGGAACACCGAUGGCGAAGGCAAUCCCCUGGACCUGUACUGACGCUCAUGCACGAAAGCGUGGGGAGCAAACAGGAUUAGAUACCCGCGUAGUCCCUGUCUCUUAUACA
rnacentral:rRNA from 1 species